rnacentral:rRNA from 1 species
UAGAGUUUCCCGGGCCAGAUGACGCGCGCUGUUACCCAUCAGUCGACGAGAAGUCUUUCGGGAGGAGUGAGCGGCGCACGGGGGUAACGUGGAUAAUCUGCCCUGAAGAUCGGGAUAACAGUUGGAAACGGCUGCUAAUACCGUAUAAUCUGCAUAUUUAGCUUUAUGUGGGAAAGAUGGCCUCUACUUGUAAGCUAUCGCUUUUGGAUGAGUCCGCGUCUCAUUAGCUUGUUGGUGGGGUAAUGGCCUACCAAGGCAACGAUGAGUAGCUGGUCUGAGAGGAUGAUCAGCCACACUGGGACUGAAACACGGCCCAGACUCCUACGGGAGGCAGCAGUGGGGAAUAUUGCGCAAUGGGGGAAACCCUGACGCAGCGACGCCGCGUGUAGGAAGAAGGCCUUCGGGUCGUAAACUACUGUCAAGAGGGAAGAAACUGUUGGACAUUAAUACGGUCCUUCACUGACGGUACCUCUAGAGGAAGCACCGGCUAACUCCGUGCCAGCAGCCGCGGUAAUACGGAGGGUGCGAGCGUUAAUCGGAAUCACUGGGCGUAAAGCGUGCGUAGGCGGCGUAUCAAGUCAGGCGUGAAAGCCCUCGGCUCAACCGGGGAAUUGCGCUUGAAACUGGUAUGCUAGAGUCUCGGAGAGGUUGGCGGAAUUCCAGGUGUAGGAGUGAAAUCCGUAGAUAUCUGGAGGAACACCGGUGGCGAAGGCGGCCAACUGGACGAGUACUGACGCUGAGGUACGAAAGCGUGGGUAGCAAACAGGAUUAGAUACCCUGGUAGUCCACGCUGUAAACGAUGGAUAUUAGGUGUCGGGGUUUAACUUCGGUGCCGCAGUUAACGCGUUAAAUAUCCCGCCUGGGGAGUACGGUCGCACCCCCUUG